GAUGAACGCUGGCGGCGUGCUUAACACAUGCAAGUCGAACGGAAAGGCUCCUGCUUGCAGGGGUACUCGAGUGGCGAACGGGUGAGUAACACGUGGGUGAUCUGCCCUGCACUUCGGGAUAAGCCUGGGAAACUGGGUCUAAUACCGGAUAGGACGAUGGUUUGGAUGCCAUUGUGGAAAGUUUUUUCGGUUUGGGAUGGGCGCGCGGCCUAUUAGCUUGUUGGUGGGGUAAUGGCCUACCAAGGCGUCGACGGGUAGCCGGCCUGAGAGGGUGUACGGCCACAUUGGGACUGAGAUACGGCCCAGACUCCUACGGGAGGCAGCAGUGGGGAAUAUUGCACAAUGGGCGCAAGCCUGAUGCAGCGACGCCGCGUGGGGGAUGACGGCCUUCGGGUUGUAAACUCCUUUCGCUAGGGACGAAGCGCAAGUGACGGUACCUGGAGAAGAAGCACCGGCUAACUACGUG
rnacentral:rRNA from 1 species